ACCCUGGCUCUGGAAGCAGGUGUCUCCAGUAGUCCAACAUGAGUUCCUGUUCCCAUCUCAAGUUUCAUGCAACUUUUCAUCCUUGCCUUGAACAAAGCCCUUUUAUUUCUGGGUGGUGUUGUGAAAAUUGUUUUUGCAGUUACCAGUAAGGCAGAAAAGAAUGGAUCACCACUAUAGAAUUACGUAAAUUUUACAUUCCCAAUUUAGAAAUGUCCAUGCAUGGGAGAAAUACUGGGAAGAGCUUCUCUUCAGAAAUUAUCCCUGGAUUGUGGAAUAACAGGAAAUUUUUAAGUGUAUUGUCUUUAUAAUAAAAACUAUUAAAAUGACUAUAAUAAAUUAGGAUUUAAUAUGUGACAAAAACUGUAAGAAGUUGCCACUAUAUCUUAUUUCUCACUAGAAAUCUAGAAGAUCCUUUUUUAAAAGAUAUAAAUGUUAACCUAUUUUUAAAAUUGUGGUAGAAUAUAUAUAACAUGAAAUUUGCCUUUCUGACCACUUUUAAAUAUAUAGUUCUGUGGCAUUAAGUACAUUCACUGUGGGAUCUGUCUCUCUCUCUCUUUUUUAAGUUCAUCAAUUUUAUAAACAAGGAAGCUAAAACUAGGAAAACAAAGUUGCUUGCCUCGGGUCACAGAGAUUAAGUAGUUCCAGAGACAGGAUUUGAACCCAGGACCCUGAAAAUCAGAGCUCUGGGAUUUCUGGUUAGUGGUUGUUGGGGACCUAUGGUUACUUACCCUGCCCCACACUUACUGCAUAUUUGCAGAAAACCAGCCUGUUCAUGUGUGUCUCUCCUCUGGAAGUCCUAGGGUUAGGUCUCUAUUUGUCAUGGAGGUGGCUGAUGAGCCUGGCUCGGUGUACAUGUGGUUGACGCAGGGGGCCACCUGUUGAUGGACAUGAGGGCUGAUGAAGGUUGAAGCGUGUGGGCUACUGUGUUGGGUAGGGUUGGGUGUUAGACUUUUCCAGAAGGUUCUCAGAGAGGGGUGCCCUGGAAAGAGCAGUGGCUUGGAGCUCAGAUACCUGGCUUCAUCUAGUCUGCGCUUGGAGUUCAAAGGUCUGUGCUUUUGUGCUUAUGUCACCGUGUGGUCAACGUGCUUUGUCCUCAGUGUCCUCAUUUCUAAGUGGGUGGUAAAAGGGCUUGUUCUGCUUGCCUUCCACGAUUGUAGAUGUUGACAUGUCAAGAUGUGGGGGAAAGUGCUAGGUGAACUAGGGGUUGUCGGGCAGUUUCUAGGAUGGGAAUUUUUUUUAAGGUUUUAUUUAUUAAUGAGAGACAUAGAGAGAGGUAGAGACCUAGCAGAGAGAGAAGCAGGCUCCCCACAGGGAGCCAAUGCAAGACUCGAUCCCAGGACCCCGGGGUCACAACCUGAGCUGAAGGCAGAUGCUCAGUCACUGAGCCACCCAGGUGCCCCUAGGAGGGGAAUUUUUUUUUUUUUAAACUUUUAUUUAUUUAUGAUAGGCACACAGUGAGAGAGAGAGAGAGGGGCAGAGACACAGGCAGAGGGAGAAGCAGGCUCCAUGCACCGGGAGCCCGACGUGGGAUUCGAUCCCAGGUCUCCAGGACCGCGCCCUGGGCCAAAGGCAGGCGCCAAACCGCUGCGCCACCCAGGGAUCCCUAGGAGGGGAAUUUUGAAUAUGCCAUGGCAGAGGGGAGUGUCUAGGGCUGACCCAGAAGGUCUGACGGGGAUGGAUUUGAAGGUGAAGAGUAGCAGGGUUGCUUCGCUUUGUUGUCUUUCGCUUUGGCCGUCAGCUUGUCUCCUCCACCAUGGCUUAGUUGGUGAAGAACAGCAUUCCACUGUUUGCCUACUACCAUAGGUUGGGAUGCUCUGAGAUUUUCUAGAAUGGGUCUCUUUCAAGGUCCAUGGAUUUACCCUUCCUGAGACUCACAUCUCAGGUGAAAUGAACUGUCAUGUCGGAAAUCAUUUUUUAGCCAUGUGUUUCUGGACUUGUCUGUCUUCCCUGUCUUUACAGCAGACACCAGUCUGUCUUUCUGUCAUCUGAUCUUGAGCGGCCAAGCAUAGGAGCAGGCUGGGAUCUGGAGGUCGUGCAGGUCGGGGUGCGGGGAGGAGCUCACCUUCUCAUGGUAGAUGCCAUGCUUGUUCCCCCCACACUAAGACACUGUGCUCUGUGCAGGACCCUGGGUGCAAUCUCAAGAUAAAGGUGGGGCCUCACUCUCAAAAAAAGCCACUAUUUAUAGGGGAAGAUGCACAUCCUCAGGAUACAGUACAAGGGCGAGGACAGGUAGCUUGACAAGUGACUGUCUCGAGAAGUGCAGCAUCUAGUGCAAAUGAAUGAAAGUGCAUUGUUGGGGCAGGCCAGAGGUGAGCAGCUGCUAGCAGGACUUCUGUGUCUAGGGUUUCUGUCUGGCCACCCCCAAGACAGUCUUUUGAGUCAUUAUUGUAUCAGUGCAUGUUUCAUGCAACCAGAAAUCCAGGGGUGCAGGAUCUGCUGAAGUCCGUGGCCCUGUCUCAGCAGCCACUUGCUUCUGGCUUUGAGCACGGUGCUCAAAGACGAAGUAGGUCACGGGUAUCUAUUUUGAAGCAUACGUGGCUGGGCUGCAUGGCCAUUUAAUUUCCGGAUCAGAUCCUGUCCGACUUGUUUGUUGGGGAGGUUGGCAGGAAGCGCUCUCUGGUUGGUUGUGCAGUGUAUUUAUAAAGUGUGAAGAGUCUGGAGGUAAUGGGAUGCUCCCCUCCUGCAUUCCUGUAGGAGAGCCGUCGGUGGAGAGGUUUCAGAAACCUUCAGGACGCCACGGGCGUAUGGUUGGUUUCCACCCUGCUUCUUUGAAUUUUCUGAAAACUGUUGAUCCUCGCUAACUUCAUGAAACCUUUUUUCUUUUAAGAAAUCCAGUGCCCCAUACCCAGUGUCUUCUAAGCAGAGUCUGGCCUUUUGUCCCACACCACUUUGGUUUCAGGAGCCCUGGGGAUGGAAGACAUCCUGGCUGGGAGCAGGGAAGUGUGGGAGCAACUCCCCAGUCUCUUCCCAGGCGAGAUGUGACCUCCCAGCUGUGGGUGUUGGGGAUGGGUCCCCCAACUCAAAGCAGCUUCUGGGCAGAACUGGAGUUAUGUCUUCAGCUGUCACUCAGAUGUCACUGGAGCUCGGGAUUCUCAGUUUUUACUCUUCGUUGGAUUUUCCUGUAUUUCCCUCUUUUUCUCUAGGUGUUCUUACCUGAGGCCAUGGGUGAGUACAAGGAGAUGGUGAGCUCCACCAGAUAGUGCAGGUGGUAAUGGAGUCUUUUAGCCACCUCGCCUGUACGUACCAGCUGUUGACUGGAAUAUUCCCCCAUCUUUGGUAUUCCAUGCUCUCUCUGUUUUUGAGGAGUAAACAGGUUUAGGUGUGUGUUUGCUGUGUCCUUCUCUACAGUGCCUUUCCCCUAGGCUACUCACAGAGUCCUGGCAGUAAUGCUACUGCCCAUGGUCAUUUAUAUUUGCUGGCAUGUUGGAAUGUUUGGGUGCUGGCAGAGGCAUUGCUUCAUUGAGUACCCCCAGCAGGCCAUUGUCACCACAUUUUACACAUACGGAUUCUCAAGGGAUGCCACAGACCUGAGACUUUUAGGUAGCACACCCCAUAGCUUCCUCUGGAAGUUUAGUAGGAAACACCAGAGAAGGUGUUUAUUUAAAAUCCAUUGUAUUCUGAAAGCGAGAGAACCUCCUCCUCAGAUACUGUCCCUGCUGGCUGGUUUGUGGUGCGGUUCCCUGCCAGGAGUGCCUGGGCCCAUCCUGAUUUCUCUCCAGCCUUUUUACUUAAUCUGCCUGAGUUUGUAUCCUAGAAAUUGGAGUAUACUAAUAUCUGAAAGACAUAAAUGAGACAAUGUACAUAAAAUCACUCAGGACUCAAUGAAUGGUUUAUUACGUUCUGUCUUUAACCCACUGUGACUUGCAGCUGCCACAGACCUCUGCUUCUGCAGCCCCGUCAGGGAGAUAGACCUGGAGUCCUGGCAGGCCUCAUUGCGGUGGAUGCCCACAGGAUGCUUUUCUUCAAGGUCUUGGCAUGGUGGUGGUAGUGGUGGUUUCUCGACCUGAAUGCAUUAUAAAUGAGAAAUUUGCAAGCUGUGGUUUUUCUUACUAAAAGAAUUGCAAGUAGGAUUAAGCACAGGACUGUCCAGCAUGAACCGCUCCCUGCUUGGGCGUCCAGGCUUCAGCCACAGGAUUUGGUACAGUGGGUGACAGUUAACCUGUUUGUCCAUCUGCUCAGCUCAGUGGGAAGCUCUGCAGGGGCAGGGACUUGGUCCAUGCCUUGUGAUAGCCUAGGCAGCUUAUGUGUCGUACUCUGUGAGGAGCACGGUUGAUAUGGGCGCCUGUGUGGCUCAGUGGUUGAGCGUCUGCCUUUGGCUCAGGUUGUGAUCCCGGAGUCCUGGGACCAAGUCCUCAUCGGGCUCCCUGUGGGGAGCCUGCUUCUCCCUCUGCCUGUGUCUUGCCUCUCUCUCUGAGUCUCUCAUGAAUAAAUAAAA
rnacentral:lncRNA from 1 species